AAAAACCCCCCCCCCGGGCCCCGGGCCCCAAGGCCCCCCCCCCCCUUAACAAACCGGGAAGGGAAAAGGGGGUCGGGGGCGACAAAGGGAACUUGGUCCGCACGCAGCCACCGAAAUUGCAGUGCGAGGCUGUAAGGAGGCGCUGUGGCCUGCAGAAGAGCCUCGGGGCCCCAGGCCGCCUUAGCUCGGGUUUCUGGGGCUGCGGUAAGCAUCGAAUCACUUAUCCUUUUACUCUUUCCACCCAGGGUGUCCGCUGAAAAUGAGAAGUAUCCAGUCCCCGACGGUUGGCUGAAGCUAUGCGAGGAUUAUAUCCUGCUCCGCGUUGGUGCGAGCAUUCGGAGCGACCCCUCAGUUUGGGGAAUCCAGGUCAGUUUACUGGAAGAUUUGUAUGUGUGCUGGCUGGAAAGCUGACUCCGUGUCUGCUGCUUCUCUGUGCCUAGAAUGGGAUUGUUUUGGAUUAGGACCUGCCAGAGCGUUUUUAGCAUCUUCAGCUGUGAAAUCCUCUGGGAGGCUGCAGCAUGGCAAAGUUUUGAGGUACUAACAGGUGCUAUUUGCUGCAGGAAGACACCUACCCCUCCCAAGGUAGGAGAGCUGGGGGGGGAGGGGAGUUUAUUGGAGGCUGUCAGUCUUUUACUGUCUUAGUUUGCAUGUUUGGGCCACUCACGAAAGCAUCCACCCCACAGUAAACAGUUACCUACGUUCUCCCCUACGUGCUUGUCUGUAGACGGAAAACGUGUAUUGCUUAAAUUAAUAUAUUGUGUUAAGAUAUGAUAUGUACUGGAAAAAAUAAUAUGAAUUGAUGUUUCUGGAAUAAAUCACCCUGAUGCCCAAUUACCGACUCAUUCGUCUGCGUGCUGUUUUUCCUGUAUGCAGAAUGUCGGCCUCCUCCCUGUGGCUGUGGGGUGCCUUGACUGUCCUCAGAAUGUAGGACUGUUCUAGCAGCUGUGGCCUCCUGUGUGCCCAGCUCCUUAGGGAGUUGGACGGGUCUUGGUUUGGGAGUUAAAUCGGGCGCAUUAGAUCCUGGGCCCCCCGAGCAGUCAUGUCUUACGGCAUGAACGCAGAUGGUAUUGGGAGAGCUGUUUGUAACUGCGAGAGCUUUCCUCUUAACCCGGGGAAGGCGCUUGAGUGUCCCUGUAAGUCCAGAAGAGUCGGCCAAGAGCAGGGAAAUACGGGCAAGACGAGCGUGACCAUCCCGUGGCAGAGUGGCACGGGCUGAGAUAACGUCCUUCCCAGGAGCCUCCACCCCUCAAGGUGCCGUCUUGUCUUUGCACCCCUGUCCUGCUCCAGUCUGCUGAAAUACUGCCCGGAACUGGCUUCGAAAUACUGCCCGGAGCUGACUUCUUAGCAUUGAGUCACCUCCCGUUUUCUCUGUGACUGGACCCCAAGACAGUUAAUUCUCCUACACAGUAAAGGGCCUGGGGUGACGGGUGUGCUGGGCGCCUUUGUGGUGAUGGGAAGGAGGCCUGGGAUCCACAGGAGAAGACUCCAGAAGGUUUGUGUCACUGCCUGGAGUAUACCCCAGCUGUCCCCUGCUCUGUCACUCAGAUCUGGCCCCAUGGAGUUGGCCCCUACAAGCCUGGACCUGGUGUGCUGGACUUGUUUUCCCCAAAGAACACAUGUCUAAAAUAGCUUUUGGUAUCGUGGCUGGGCCUUAGUGUUCGUGGCUUUCUUUUCUGGAUUGUGUGAGGAAGAGCUCAAGCAGGUGGGGUCCUGUCCUUCAAAGACGGAACGUUCAGGACUAGCAAGGGAGGAUGAAAUAUGUGUGGUUAAGUGUCGUUUUAAGCACAUAACAAAGCGACCAUAAACACCUCUCUCG
ensembl:lincRNA